ACGAGAAACCAAACAAACCCUAAUUACCUAUUCCUCUAUUCGACUUUAACUCCUUGCCUACACCCGUCGCCGUAGUCAGUGCCGGCCCAAGCCUUGCCCAAAGGAAGGCCUCCCGCCUCUGCUGUCCAGCUCCAGCAUCCCGCCUCCACGGCUCCAAUGCUCCAUCGUUCCAUCCAACUGCCCAUCAGCCAUCGUAGGGAUAGGGUAAGUGACUAAGUGGGUAACUAGGGUUCUGGCCUUCUGGGUUCAUAGCUGCGGCUGCCGCCUGCCCCUUCCUGCUACCCUCAGCCAUCGGCCAUGCCUACGAAGUACGAAGCCCUGGUGGCCAACGGGCAAUGGACAACAGGGCUAUGGAGGACCCUACGCCCCUACGAUCCAUCCUCCAUAGCCCGUCUUCUCCAUCUGCCGUCCUCGGCAGUCGGCAUCUCGGCUUGUCGGCCUCGGCCGAAGACUCUUCUUCCGCGAAGAGUCUAAGUUCUAAACUCUUCUUCGGUUCUUCCUUCUUCCCUGAAUUCGUAGCUUGGCUCGGUAACUCGGUUCACCGUUCCCGAAUCUCACUUCGCCCUUUCCGUUCGCCACUCGCUCUCGCCGUCCUCGGAGGGAAUCAGGAAGGCGGCGUCGCCGGCGUGACGCGUGACGGCGUCUCUUGGCUCUCUUCUCCUUCUCGGCAGUCGGCCCAGCCCUCCGUCGUCGCCGGAGCCCGGAGCCGGAGGGUCUUCAUUAAAAUUGAUAGGAGCUCCGGCAUCACUUCUCACCAUCGAGUUUCUAUUUCGGCACUGCUUGUCAGGACUUGAGUUCGUCGUCGAGUCCAGCAUCGCUUCUGUUGACAUUUCGGGUUUUAUCAUUUUCAACUCUCUUGUAUUUUGAUUUGUUUGUAGUGAUUGUGUUAAUUGUUUAGAUUCAAAUGUCUAAUAGAAAAUUUGAAUGUGGGUAUGAAAAAUUCAAAAAGAAAAAAAACAAAAAACUCAUUCAAUCUCAAAAAAUCGAAAAAUCAAAAUACUACAUCCAGUUCAACUCCGAAUGAAAUAGAGUUUCAAGAUGACAUAAAAGAACGAAACAAGUAUCUUAAGAACGUCUUACAUGUGGACCCUUAUAGUCAUCCAUACGAACAUGUGACUCAAGAGGUUUGACGCCACUUAAUUGACGAUGUGUGGAAAAGCAAAGAACACAAGGUGAGAUGAAAAGCUGGCAAAAAGAAUAGGAAAAAGCUUGAGUACAAUCAUUGUUCAGGAUCUCGGUCAUUUGUUGCAACAAUGACUAUACCGAAUUCUAUAAGAAAACUCAUACCAAGAAGAACAAAGAGUAGAUUGAUCUUAUUUGCGCCGUGAAAUAUAGUUCUUAAAGAAAAGAGCGAGAGAUGGAGCGUGAGGAGCUGCGGAGGCAAUUGGAGCAGGAGAGAAGAGAGCGUGAGGAGGAAAGAAAAGAGCGAGAGGAAGAACAGAAGCAAAUUGCACAUCUUACAAGUUUGGUGAUAGAGUUCUUAAAGGAAAAGACUCAAACGCACAAGUCAUGUAUUUUUGUAUAAGAAUAUUUUUGUCUACAUGAUGGUGGUUUGGAUGAAUACCAAGAUUAUAUAUUUUGGGAUUUUUAAUUACAUUUUGAUGUGUUUGGUGAUGAUUAUCACCUUAACAUAUGGUAUGGAUGAAACAUUGUGAUGUAUGGUUAAUAGGUAUGCUUGACUUUAGACUUAUAGAUAAUGAUAUUUAUAAUGAAUGAUUAUGGAUUCUCCAACA